rnacentral:lncRNA from 1 species
AGGCCAAGCAUAGUUUUUUGAGGAGUGAAACUUCCAGCAGCAAACCGCUUGGAUAAUUACUCAAGGUUUUCCCUACAGUAUUUUCUAAGGCAAUGUGUAAGUAUAAUUAAGGCUGUUUUGAACAUGUAUUCUCUCUGCAGGAUAAUAAGGAUAAUAUGUAAGAAUCUGUUGCUGAUUUAUGCAGCAUGUGUUUGCUGUCUUCAAGAAAGACUGCGACAAGGCUUUUCAAAUGGAGGAUCUGAUUUUCGCUCAAGACGGUGCCUGUUUUAAAAGUAGUUGUUUUACCACUAUUAGAAUAUUAUUUA